AGAAGCAAUAAUGUUAAUAUGAGUAACAAGAAAAUUUUUCUCCCAGCACAUCUGUAUAUCAGAACGAAUGAAUCACUGAUAGUUACCAAAACAGGCACUAAUCACCAAAUUAAUUACCACUAUCAAACUGUUAGCCCAACACAGGAGUGCAAUCAGGGAAAGAUUAAAAGAAGUAAAAGGAACUCGGC
rnacentral:rRNA from 1 species